rnacentral:rRNA from 1 species
UACAGAGGGGGCAAGCGUUAUUCGGAAUUAUUGGGCGUAAAGGGUAGGUAGGUGGUCUCGUUUGCCUGGGGUGAAAGCCUUGAGCUUAACUCAAGAAGUGCCCCAGAAACGGCGAGACUAGAGUAUUGGAGAGGGUCGUGGAAUUCCCGGUGUAGCGGUGAAAUGCGUAGAGAUCGGGAGGAACACCAGAGGCGAAAGCGGCGACCUGGACAAUUACUGACACUCAACUACGAAAGCGUGGGGAGCAAACAGG